rnacentral:rRNA from 1 species
AUGCCGCUCACACAGGCCAUCCUGCUCUCAGUGGUCAUGUUAGCGCGCAGCCACCACGUCCCGCCAGAGCUGCAGCUGCACUCCUCUGCGUGCAGCAAGACGUUCCCGUCCUACCAAGCUAGAGCUACAAGGCCAGCCACUGCAAGUCCGUGGCCUGGCACACCACCUGCAAUUGCAGUAAGCGCUGAGCAGCAACAGGAGGAGAGACUGUCAGCAACGUCGGCACCACCGCCAUGUCGUCACCUUCUCACAAGCCAUGACGGCAGAGGCACUCUCCUCAGCGCCAGAGCCGUCAUAGCUCAGCCUGGCGGACCUCAAGGCCGCAUCCGUGCUCGGCGGUGA